rnacentral:rRNA from 1 species
UCCUACGGGACGCAGCAGUAGGGAAUCUUCCACAAUGGGCGAAAGCCUGAUGGAGCAACGCCGCGUGGGUGAAGAAGGUCUUCGGAUCGUAAAACCCUGUUGUUAGAGAAGAAAGUGCGUGAGAGUAACUGUUCACGUUUCGACGGUAUCUAACCAGAAAGCCACGGCUAACUACGUGCCAGCAGCCGCGGUAAUACGUAGGUGGCAAGCGUUAUCCGGAUUUAUUGGGCGUAAAGAGAACGCAGGCGGUCUUUUAAGACUGAUGUGAAAGCAUUCGGCUUAGCCGGAGUAGUGCAUUGGAAAGU